GGAGAGAUGCCCGAGUGGCUUAAGGGGCACGACUGGAAAUCGUGUGUACCCUAAAAAGGUACCGUGGGUUCAAAUCCCACUCUCUCCG
rnacentral:tRNA from 1 species